GACGAACGCUGGCGGCGUGCUUAACACAUGCAAGUCGAACGGAGCGAAUGAAAGCUUGCUUUUAUAAGCUUAGUGGCAAACGGGUGAGUAACACGUAGGCAACCUGCCGACAGGAUGGGGACAACAUUCCGAAAGGAAUGCUAAUACCGAAUGAAGUCAGAGAAGGGCAUCCUUUUCUGAUGAAAGAUGGCCUCUGAAUAUGCUAUCACCUGUCGAUGGGCCUGCGUCUGAUUAGCUGGUAGGUGAGGUAACGGCUCACCUAGGCGACGAUCAGUAGCCGGUCUGAGAGGAUGAACGGCCACAUUGGGACUGAGACACGGCCCAGACUCCUACGGGAGGCAGCAGUGGGGAAUCUUCCGCAAUGGGCGCAAGCCUGACGGAGCAACGCCGCGUGAGUGAAGAAGGUCUUCGGAUCGUAAAGCUCUGUUGAUGGGGACGAACGUGCCUAAUGCGAAUAGUUUUAG
rnacentral:rRNA from 1 species